AAAGAAAUUAAAAAUAAAAAGCUUCUAACUUUUAAAAAAGCAAAUAUUGUUUAA
rnacentral:tRNA from 1 species